GCCCCGGUAGCGCAGAUCGGGAGCGCGCCCGGCUGAAGACCGGGGUGUCGUGGGUUCAAGAUCUCCUCAAAAGGAGAUGGAAGUCCCACCCGGGGCA
rnacentral:tRNA from 1 species